GUUUCCUGUCUGAUGCAGGCCGUCUUUUCCCUUGUUCAUCAUUUCAGCUGGGAGUCAACCUUUGCUCUUAACCAUCCUGCCUCACUUCAAGAUGAUGCUCAGUAUGUUCUUUUCUGAGCUAGCACUUACUGCUAAUUUGAUAGCUUCAGAACAUGGUUAAAUUCCCUGGUUGGUUCAGCAAAGGUGAGAUCUACGUUAUACCACAAGUUGUGGUGCAGCAGUUACUCAGUCCUCAUCACCAUACCUUCAUCAUGCAUUGGCCAUAGGUGGGAUGGAAAGCCUUGUGGGAAGAAGCUACAUGAGGGAUGCUGCUGCUGCUGCUGCUGCUGCUGCUUCUAUAGCCAGAACCUUCUAACCUCCUCAAAAGCCCAGACAGGGAUGACGGAGUCGCCGCACACCUGCAUGUAGAAACCGCAGACUCCUGGCACAUCACAGGCUUCCAUCCCCCACAAUGCACUUCUCCAUCUCCCUUGACUUCAAGGCUCUUGGAGGCGUUGUGCACUGUCCCCGUUUUCACUACAGUCACAGUGGUUGACGUCGCCGCUGUUUGUUUGAGAACAAACGAACCGAACACAAAUAUGAACGUUAAUUUGAAGUUUGAAAUCAGGGACUGUCACGUGUGGUCUAAACAGAAGAGAAACCCCGCUAUAGCAAUAGUUUUUAAAGCCUGUAUGGGCUAACUAUAUUUCAAAUAGUGAAUAUAUGAUUUCUAGGAGAUGUGGGGACCAAUAAAGAUACGGUUGGAAUACUUUAAGAUGUAUAGGAAAGAUGCAGUCCCAGAGUUUUAUUUCACCCUUAAUCUUAAAAAAUGGCAUGUCCCCCACCCUAUCUCCAAUUGAUGGAUCUCUUCCCCUGGGACUAAUUAUUAAUAUUUUCUCGUUAUGCCCUGCGAGAUGAGUUGUCUUCUCCGUAAUCUUCAGCCACGUGGCAUUGGGUUUAAUUAAUUCCAGUUUAGUCGUCUAUUUCUGGCAAAGCACCAUGGGUGCUGCUAAUGAAUGUCGUUUUUUCUGAAUAUUCUGCUCUCGCAUCGCAGGCAGAACAAGGCGCUCGCAAAGAAUACCAAUAUUUUUUGUACAAAGUCCAGUUCCAUAACCUUGCAC
ensembl:lncRNA